UACGGAGGGUGCGAGCGUUGUCCGGAAUCAUUGGGCGUAAAGGGCGCGUAGGUGGCGGCUUAAGCGUGCGGUGAAAGCUCGGGGCUCAACCCCGAGUCGGCCGUGCGAACUGAGUCGCUUGAGCACUGUAGAGGCAGGCGGAAUUCCGGGUGUAGGCGGUGGAAUGCGUAGAGAUCCGGAAGAACACCGGUGGCGAAGGCGGCCUGCUGGGCAGUAGCUGACACUGAGGCGCGACAGCGUGGGGAGCAAACAGG
rnacentral:rRNA from 1 species